CACGAACGCUGGCGGCGUGCUUAACACAUGCAAGUCGAACGGAAAGGCCCCUUUAGGGGUACUCGAGUGGCGAACGGGUGAGUAACACGUGAGUAACCUGCCCUUGACUUCGGGAUAACUUCAGGAAACUGGGGCUAAUACCGGAUAGGAAUCCUUGCUGCAUGGUGUGGGUUGGAAAGCUUCGGCGGUUUUGGAUGGACUCGCGGCUUAUCAGCUUGUUGGUGGGGUAGUGGCUUACCAAGGCUUUGACGGGUAGCCGGCCUGAGAGGGCGACCGGCCACAUUGGGACUGAGAUACGGCCCAGACUCCUACGGGAGGCAGCAGUGGGGAAGAUUGCACAAUGGGCGGAAGCCUGAUGCAGCAACGCCGCGUGCGGGAUGACGGCCUUCGGGUUGUAAACCGCUUUCAGCAGGGGCGAAGCUUGUGGUGACGGUACCUGCAGAAGAAGCACCGGCUAACUACGUG
rnacentral:rRNA from 1 species